GGGCCCGCACAAGCAGCGGAGCGUGUGGUUUAAUUCGAGGCUACACGAAGAACCUUACCUGGGUUUGACAUAUACGUGGUAGUGAACCGAAAGGGGAACGACCUUCGGGAGCGUAUACAGGUGCUGCAUGGCUGUCGUCAGCUCGUGCCGUGAGGUGUUCGGUUAAGUCCGCAAACGAGCGCAACCCCCGGUGCUAGUUACACGUGUCUAGCGCGACUGCCCGUGAGAAACGGGAGGAAGGUGGGGAUGACGUCAAGUCAGCAUGGCCUUUAUAUCCAGGGCUACACACACGCUACAAUGGGCGGUACAAUGGGUCGCGAAGCCGCGAGGCGGAGCCAAUCCUGAAAGCCGUUCGUAGUUCGGAUUGCAGGCUGCAACUCGCCUGCAUGAAGUCGGAGUUGCUAGUAACCGCAGGUCAGCUAUACUGCGGUGAAUACGUUCCCGGGCCUU
rnacentral:rRNA from 1 species